rnacentral:rRNA from 1 species
UACGUAGGGGCCAAGCGUUGUCCGGAUUUAUUGGGCGUAAAGAGCGUGUAGGCGGCCAGAUAAGUCCGCUGUGAAAUCUCGAGGCUCAACUUCGAGCUGUCGGUGGAAACUGUCUGGCUAGAGUCCGGAAGAGGAGAAUGGAAUUCCUGGUGUAGCGGUGAAAUGCGCAGAUAUCAGGAAGAACACCCGUGGCGAAGGCGGUUCUCUGGGACGGUACUGACGCUGGAGACGCGAAAGCGUGGGGAGCGAACAGG